rnacentral:rRNA from 1 species
UUACGGGUCGCUCCAGUGAGGAAUAUUGCACAAUGGGGGGAACCCUGAUGCAGCAACGCCGCGUGGAGGAUGACGCAUUUCGGUGUGUAAACUCCUUUUAUAUGUCAAGAAAAUGAAGGUAGCAUAUGAAUAAGCACCGGCUAACUCCGUGCCAGCAGCCGCGGUAAUACGGAGGGUGCAAGCGUUACUCGGAAUCACUGGGCGUAAAGGACGCGUAGGCGGGUUGGAAAGUCAGGUGUGAAAUCCUACAGCUUAACUGUAGAACUGCACUUGAAACUUCUAAUCUAGAGUAUGGGAGGGGGAGAUGGAAUUAGUGGUGUAGGGGUAAAAUCCGUAGAUAUCACUAGGAAUACCUAAAGCGAAGGCGAUCUCCUGGAACAUUACUGACGCUAAGGCGUGAAAGCGUGGGGAGCAAACAGGAUUAGAUACCGCGUAGUC